rnacentral:rRNA from 1 species
UGAGGAAUAUUGGUCAAUGGGCGCAAGCCUGAACCAGCCAUCCCGCGUGCAGGAAGACGGCCCUAUGGGUUGUAAACUGCUUUUCUGUAGGAAGAAACACUCUGUCGUGACAGGGCUUGACAGUACUACAGGAAUAAGCAUCGGCUAACUCCGUGCCAGCAGCCGCGGUAAUACGGAGGAUGCGAGCGUUAUCCGGAUUCAUUGGGUUUAAAGGGUGCGUAGGCGGAUUGGUAAGUCAGUGGUGAAAUCC